GUUUGACUGCCGGACUUACAUUGGUCCUGAAGAACUUACAUUUGAGGAAAACAGAACUAUGACCAGAAACCCUUGGCUCUCCCACCCUGCUGAGAGAUACGAGACAGGGGAGUCUCCCUGGAGUGAAGGAGAGCUUACUGCGAGUUCAAGUGUCUGCAGCAGUCAUGAGUUGGUCUGGUGCAGAGGAGCAAGCUGAGCUUCCACACGCAAGGAAAGCAAAGGAGUGGGCUUCUGGGCGAGUACUGGAAGCUGGGAGAGACAGGAGCGUGUUCCCAGACCUCUGGGUCCUGAGGAGACAAGGUUCCUGGUAAGGGACAGGACCUUCUGGAAGCAACUCACUAGGCCUGGGCUUCAGGAUGCCAGGGUGUGGAUGUGUGAACAUGGACCCACUGAGCAUGCAGCAUAGACCACAUGUGUGCCCGCAGGCUGCUUGGAAACACCUGCUCCAGCCGUCCCCCGGAAUCGCUGAUGUGCCCACGCCGAGCCCUGACAGGCACACAGCGCCUUGCCCCCCCUGAGUCGCCAGAUGCCGCGGUGCCCCCCUUGCCGCCCCACCAUGCGCCUGUGUUGCCAGCACGACCCGCGCAGCUGUCGCUCGCAGCCAUCAGCAGCAAAAUCAUCCCCACGAAGUCAUACAUAUGGAACAUCGUUGCUGCAGAAUAUUUAUUUUAACAUGUGUCAGGGCCCCUUCGGUGGCAGGCGGGCUUCGCCUCACCUGCCAGGCAGCUGGAGCCAGUCAGACACAGGGAUGCCCAGGGAGGGUGCGCUAGCAUUCGGCUCUGCUCUGCUCUGCCACCCUGGGUGCGGCUCCAUCCCUGUCUCCUGUGUCCCUGCUUUCCUCCUUUGUGGCCACAGCUGUGAAACAGCUGCCAGAUCUUUUCCCCCAGCCAGGGUACAGGAACCCAUACCACGGCCUCACAGAGUGGAUUUAUCAUAGGGCAGUGUCAGAAAGGUGUUGGGGGUCACAAGUUAAAGGAUACUCACACAGAGUGUGGAGAAAGUCCCGGCAGGAGACAGAUUUGCCUGCAGGCUGGCAAAGAAAUAAGACCCAGAGACCCAGCUGAGCCUUGGAAGAGGGUGCUGCUGGGCUGGAUCUUCAAGGGUGACCUUGAGGGGAGAGUCACCUUUGAAACUUCAUGACUUCCUGAAGUAGAGGGCACCGGGUUCCUGUAGUGAUACUCAGUCACUGAACGGCUUCAGUGUGCCCUGGAAGUCAGCUGCAGGGGUGGGAGAGUAAAAACACUGUCACUUAUACACUGCCGCCUUACCAUCUCCAUGACAAGUCAGGAGAGCCAGCCACCCUUACAGAGCCAUGUAAGCUCCCAGUGCCGUGUGGUGUGGAACAGCCUCUCUCCUGCCCUCUUAAGUAAAUGAGGGGAUUGUUUUGUUUCCCAUUGCAAAGAGGAGAACACUGGGGCUGACUGGGAACCCACAGCAAGAAAAGAAACAGGUGGAAACCUGAGUGAGAUGAUCUGUGCUGAGCCAUUCCCCUCCUCAGAAGGGGAAACCGAGGCAUGAAGGGGUGAGGUGGUCUGUCCAUGGUCGCUCAGCUUGUCAUGACCGGGAUUCAUUCUUUAGAUAGACACAAUUCAUAACCA